GAUUAAGAACGCAGCGAAAUGCGAUACGUAGUGUGAAUUGCAGAAUUCAGUGAAUCAUCGAAUCUUUGAACGCACAUUGCACCUCUCGGUAUUCCGGGAGGUAUGCCUGUUCGAGCGUCAUUUGUACCCUCAAGCUCUGCUUGGUGUUGGGUGUUUGUUCCGCCUCUGUGUGUGAACUCGCCUCAAAACAAUUGGCAGCCGGCGUACUUGUUUCGGAGCGCAGCACAUUUUGCGAUCCAGAUCAACGUACAGCGGCAUCCAAGAAGCCUUAUUUAACGCUCUUGACCUCGGAUCAGGUAGGGAUACCCGCUGAACUUAAGCAUAUCAAUAAGCGGAGGA
rnacentral:misc_RNA from 1 species